rnacentral:snoRNA from 1 species
UGGUCCAUUCUAAUCCCUGCGGGUCAGCCUGUGGCCUGUGGACCAUAGCCCUUUAGAAGCCUCACCUGGAGUAGUGAACACCACUUUGGAUCAUGCCAGGGUGCUUCCAGAUCCUC